rnacentral:misc_RNA from 1 species
AGAGAAACCCCCUUGGCACUACACGAGCUAUUUUUACAACGUAAAUACAAUUACCGCGGAUACACACAAAAAAGCACGUGGGUCCAGGACGAUGUACACAACGCACGCCUUCGGUGCCAAGGUUAGGGGCUUGCCCUCCUUACGCAGGGAAUCCCCAACAUUUUGAGGUCUGGAAGUCGUAAAGAGGAAUAUUUUUUGAUCUGCAGAGCAAAUGUAGGAUAUACUCUUGCUACUCCGAAAGGAUUUAUUCUGUUUGGAUGCUUGGUGGCGAAGAUCGAAGGGGUAUUCCGAGGAAUCACUUCGGGAGAUAUUGCACGGUGAGUCGACCCUGUGUACAUGUACAUGCAGUCAUCAUCCCACUCACGGAUCUAUACGCGCGUGCUUAUCUGUGGAUCAUUAUGCAUUUUUAUUUCAUCGUGUGUCCUACAAGAGUUUCAUCUUGCCCUCUGUAAGCGAAGAAGGAAAAACCCAAUAUUUUUCUAUGCAGCAAGACUACCUUUGAGAUACAAUAACAACAAAGAAACCACGGGGAAAUUUGUUGAUUUUUUUUUCAUAUCUACUUUGGCAACAGUAACGCUGAGUGGAAUUACUGUAGCGGCUGAUAUUUUAAACAAUGGACAUAUGGAUUGGAGCAAAAAAAAAAGAGCUUACUGGAAAAUAUUGGAAUUAAAUGCCACGAAACGAGGUGACAAAAUGCUGCAACGGAAUGCUUCAAUGCUCCUAGCCCCUCACGGAAUGUAGUGUUUCCUGCAGGAAUUCUGUGCAAUGAAAUAACAUUAAUGGGAUGCAGACUCGGCUUUUGUUCUAGGGAACAAUAGAUUGUGCCUCCUUGCCAGAAAACAAUCGAGCAUGAAAUGCAAAAUUCCAAGCACGGCGGUGUUUCCGAAAAAAAAUCCCCAGAUGAAACUGUGGCUCCGGGAAAUAUUACCAUGUCAACGGUAUAGACAUUUUACCGAAAGACCAUCUCUUGAGCACUCUGAUUUGGAUAUACAUGUACAAAGACAUGUGCCUCAUACAUUGAAACAAUACAGUCCUUGAAUGAAAGUGGCCGUUUGCUUUAAAAUCACACUCUUUAUACUUCGGAAUAUUUGAUUUGAAAUUAUUCUGUCAUCAGUGGAGAUGGAAGCCUCGAUAAAACUAUCUGAAUUUAAGGGCCAGAUUUGCAUAACAAUGCAAGAUGAUAACCAAACAAUGAAACAUAACAUCAAUUCAAGACAAAUACCUGAACACUGAGGAUGCCUCACUUCUGACGAGUAAUAAGAACGCGUCAUUACUGCAUCAGUAUUUCUUCAAUUUGAAGAAUCUGUAGAAUCCCAUCUCGAUAAAUAAUCCUGCUACAUUUUGCUUAAGCGGAUAAACAAGACUUGGAAAAACUAAUUAUAUAUUGUUUCAUAUCUAUUUCGCUCUAUAGAAACCACCAGUACCGCCGACGUGCAAAAAAAGGAAAAGGAAAAAAUGGUAUUCAUUUAUUGUCAAUAAACUGUGCGAACGAAUUUUUAAGCAGACAAGGAAGCCGAAUAUUCGAUUGUACUUCCUCUUUUGUACGAGAGUUCAAUUUUCAUCGACAGUCCUGGAAACCGAACGUCAUGGGAAUCCCAGAGAAUGUUGAAAAGUCACAAAAGUGCUCUUAAAGAGGGAGAGAAAACAUAAUUGAUGGUAUUAGAAAGGAUUGGAAUUGCCGAACAUGUGAUCCCAAGCUUCAGAGGCCAUGGCAACUAGAUUUCUUAAUGAACGUGUAGAGCGUGAUUCAUUGUAUUCAACGCUCUUUGUUCACUUCCGGGUGAACCACCACGAGUGGCCUAAGAACAAAAGUGGAAUAUGGAAUAAAAACAGCUACUCACUGAACGACCAGCAAGUACUCAGAUCAGGUAUCGCCAUGACGAUGGAGGAGCAUCACCCUGGAUGAGAGAUCGCGUGACCCCUGUCCAUUCAGAUGCUGGCCUCAUCCUCAUCUUCCCUCAGUAUCCUCGUCCUCCUGUGGUGUCAGUGACGAGGAGCAAUUGCCAACUGCAAAAGAUUGUACCAUGCCCAGCAAUAUCAAGAUGUGCGUUAGGUCACUGCGGACACCAAGAAGAUUUCAUGAUGUGUGAACCUGGUAGGCCAUGCCAACGUUGAGCAACUUUCAAUCUUGGAGUGCAUUUCUUGUAGUUAAGAAUUCGCAUGAGUUUUGUUUUUUCACUGACAUAUUUUACAAAUUUGAAACAUUUUGUCGAGUUUAUGCAUUGUUCAAUUUCAUCCAGUUAUUAUUAUUUUUUGCCAUGUACUAAUCACACACAUAAACCAUUUUCUUAGAGUUCAACCCAUCGUUUAUAAGUCAUAAUAACAUGUAUGAGCCAAGUUCAUAAUUUCAUGCAGGUAUAAGAAAAAGUUUAGCAACUUGGGUGUUGCUGAGCAGUGGCCCUGAUGUCAUUACAAAGUUCAUCAGAAGUUAAAUCCGAAGUAAGGCAAUGCAUCUCUGACAGCUAGGAAUAAUUUGUCACUUUACUUGAGCUGGAUAUCUUAUGGCUCACUUAUGGUCCAACAGCAUCCCUCCCCGCAUAUGAUAAACUUGCAGAGUUGAGGCGGGCAGUGUGUUUAUAUGCAGAGAGCUACUUUUAGUUUUCAUAAAAUAUCAUAAAAUCAAUAGACUGUGUCACUUUAAUCUUUAUGGGGGCCCAGAUAUCUUAAUUACGCAUACCUUUCCUCCACUAUUUAAAUCUUAGUAGUGCCAGCAAGACCAGCGUGAUCAAUGAAAAAGAAUGUGUAUGUACAUGGGAUGGGGUGGGUGAGGCUGUUGGUGUGGGGCCACUGUGUAUGCCAUUGCAAGGGGGAAGGGGAUCUGCACAAAGUUGGUAGUUUUUGUUGGCAGAGUUGUGGAUGGCCUGUUUGGGUUCUCCCCUGAUGACUUGGUAAUAACUCACAAUAACUUAAGAUAAAUAACUUAAGAAGGAACACUAAAAAAUACACGGCGGUCAGUGUUGUAGUCGAGACCAGCGCAAGACCAGUCACAAGUAACCGGGUGAACAGUGACAAGAGAAUGCUUUAGUUGGGGUUCAUGUGAAUAGCUUGUGACUUCAAUUCAGACUGGAGGUCAUGUGUUGGUCUUGUGUGGUCUUGUAAAGAUGGUUUCCCCUGCAACACUGACUACAGUUCAGAUGUCGCUCUCACUGUUUAGUCUUUGUAUUUUCUAUUGAUUGUACGUUCCUUUUUACAACACAUUCAUAAGAGCAUGGUGUAAGGUAAGGCAAGUUUGUAGUUACAUUUAAGUAAAUUUGACUCCCUACAGUCCUGAUGAUCUGUUUGAAUUGAGACAUAGUACACUCUUGGCCUUCCUUUUCUUCAUUGAGCUAGAAUUGUGCACUGUUUUCGGCAAUUACGAUGUAGCCGUAGGAGCAUGUCACGACACCUUGGUGCUCAUCGCCCCUUACUUAUUUCAUGUCAGUUAACAAUGGAAGACUUUGAGACGCUGUUGGUAGCAGACAUACCGGUCCCUUUUCAAGGCAUUGUGAAUACUCAUACAGCGCGUGCAUGCUCAGAACUGGUAAAAAGGACCGAUAUGUUUGUCGCCUCCAAGUAUCUCAAAGUCUCAAAUUAAUGUGUGUAAGCCUAUCACUAGAGAUGUCCUGUUGCUUUCUUAAUCAUUCCGUUUGGUGCAUAUUCACAUUAAUUGUAAUUUUGUCACUUUCUGCUUACUAAUGUAAUUAUUUGCUGCAGUUUUUUUUCAUUUACUGGUACAAUUCUGAGUUGUUUAUUAGCUUGCAUACUCAGUAGUUACGACUUAUUGGGUCUACCCAAUUGCAGCUUAUUUGUAAAGUGUACUUCAUGUGAGACCAGUUAUAAAACCUCAUUUAUGUCAGGAUUAAUAUGUCCUUGUUUGGAUAUAGAUGCAGCUGUCUGCUUUCACCGGCUCGUUUUUUAACAUUUUAUGGGACAUGUAUGGUUCAAAACAAUUGAUCAUAAUACACUGCAGUUAUACAUGUAUUACACAUAUCAGGGGAAUAAAUGUCCAUCGGAUCUUUAUUUGAGACUGUGUGUAUGCAGUGUAUAUAGUUGGCUUGUGUGGAUACAUGGCUUUUAUAAAAGAGUUGAGGGGAGUUAAA